rnacentral:rRNA from 1 species
AGUCAAGUGAAUAAGUGCAUCAGGCGGAUGCCUUGGCGAUGAUAGGCGACGAAGGACGUGUAAGCCUGCGAAAAGCGCGGGGGAGCUGGCAAUAAAGCU